rnacentral:rRNA from 1 species
ACAAGGAUUCCCUUAGUAACUGCGAGUGAAGAGGGAAAAGCUCAAAUUUAAAAUCUGGCAGCAUUUUGUUGUCCGAGUUGUAACCUAKAGAAGUGUAACCUGUGCUGGACCGUGUAUAAGUUUCCUGGAAUGGAGCAUCACAGAGGGUGAGAAUCCCGUCUUUGACAUGGACUACCAGUGCAUUGUGGUUGUGCUCUCAACGAGUCGAGUUGUUUGGGAAUGCAGCUCUAAAUGGGUGGUAAAUUCCAUCUAAAGCUAAAUAUUGGCGAGAGACCGAUAGCGAACAAGUACCGUGAGGGAAAGAUGAAAAGAACUUUGGAAAGAGAGUUAAACAGUAUGUGAAAUUGUUGAAAGGGAAACGUUUGAAGUCAGUCGCGUUAGCUGGGGAUCAGCCUGACAUUGUUGGGUGCACUUCCUGGUUGACGGGCCAACAUCAGUUUUGACUGCCAGAAAAAGGCCAAGGGAAUGUGGCACCUUUGGGUGUGUUAUAKCCUUUGGUCAUAUAUGGUGGUUGGGACUGAGGAAUGCAGUGUGCCGAAAGGCCGGGUUUCGACCACGUUCACACUGAGGAUGUUGGCAUAAUGGCUUUAAGCGACCCGUCUUGAAACACGGACCAAGGAGUCUAACAUGCAUGCGAGUGUUUGGGUGGAAAACCCUUACGCGUAAUGAAAGUGAAAGUUGAGAUCCCUGUCAUGGGGAGCAUCGACGCCCGGACCAGAACUUUUGGGACGGAUCUGCGGUAGAGCACGUAUGUUGGGACCCGAAAGAUGGUGAACUAUGCCUGAAUAGGGUGAAGCCAGAGGAAACUCUGGUGGAGGCUCGUAGCGAUUCUGACGUGCAAAUCGAUCGUCAAAUUUGGGUAUAGGGGCGAAAGACUA